rnacentral:rRNA from 1 species
UACGUAGGGUGCAAGCGUUAAUCGGAAUUACUGGGCGUAAAGCGUGCGCAGGCGGUUUUGUAAGACUGUCGUGAAAUCCCCGGGCUUAACCUGGGAAUGGCGAUGGUGACUGCAAGGCUAGAGUUUGGCAGAGGGGGGUAGAAUUCCACGUGUAGCAGUGAAAUGCGUAGAUAUGUGGAGGAACACCGAUGGCGAAGACAGCCCCCUGGGUCAAAACUGACGCUCAUGCACGAAAGCGUGGGGAGCAAACAGG